rnacentral:rRNA from 1 species
UACGUAGGGUGCAAGCGUUGUCCGGAAUUAUUGGGCGUAAAGAGCUCGUAGGCGGUUUGUCGCGUCGGCUGUGAAAACUCGGGGCUCAACCCCGAGCCUGCAGUCGAUACGGGCAAACUUGAGUGUGGUAGGGGAGACUGGAAUUCCUGGUGUAGCGGUGAAAUGCGCAGAUAUCAGGAGGAACACCGGUGGCGAAGGCGGGUCUCUGGGCCGAUACUGACGCUGAGGAGCGGAAGCGUGGGGAGCGAACAGG